CCUACGGGAGGCAGCAGUGGGGAAUAUUGGACAAUGGGGGCAACCCUGAUCCAGCCAUGCCGCGUGUGUGAAGAAGGCCCUCGGGUUGUAAAGCACUUUCAGUGAGGAAGAACGCCUGGUGGUUAAUACCCAUCAGGAAAAACAUCACUCACAGAAGAAGCACCGGCUAACUCCGUGCCAGCAGCCGCGGUAAUACGGAGGGUGUGAGCGUUAAUCGGAAUUACUGGGCGUAAAGCGCGCGUAGGUGGCUUGAUAAGCCGGUUGUGAAAGCCCCGGGCUCAACCUGGGAACGGCAUCCGGAACUGUCAAGCUAGAGUGCAGGAGAGGAAGGUAGAAUUCCCGGUGUAGCGGUGAAAUGCGUAGAGAUCGGGAGGAAUACCAGUGGCGAAGGCGGCCUUCUGGACUGACACUGACACUGAGGUGCGAAAGCGUGGGUAGCAAACAGGAUUAGAUACCCGGGUAGUC
rnacentral:rRNA from 1 species